CAUUUUGUAGCAUAUGCACUUAACUUUUUACAUUACCACAAUGGAAUUCAAAGUAACGUGUACUAUAGUUGAAUCCGAAUAAUCCAAAAUUUUACCAAAUCCUCGAUAAUUUUUUCAAACGUUUUAAAACUUUGUUGUAAGUAAUUUAGAACUUUUUUUCAUUAGCAUUUCUUCCUUAAAAAUUUGUGUUUCUUCGAGUGUUACUUACCUGAAAUCAAUUCGGAAAGAUUACUUAUUCUUGUAUUUAAAAGCGUUUAUUGAAUCAAGUUGUCAUCAUGAAAUAUUUUUUCGUUUUAAUUGUGAUUCUUUAUUAUAUUUCUGGUGCGGCGAGUUAUGUAUGUAUUCCUCCAGGUGAACCAAAUCCAAAGGGAAUCAUUUAUUGUCCGAAAAACCCGUGUGGUCAUAAUCCACCCGGUGUAAAAUGCCACUAGACCGAACGUAUGACUUCAUUCAUAGAAAAUUAUUAAUUACAAAUCCUGCAAUUUGUUAUUCAACCUCAUAGAUGUACAAUAAAAUAUAAAAAUUGCAGCCCUU